UCCUCAUUCAGCAUUGCACUUUUUCCAUAAAGUGUCUUGUUUCAUUAAAAGGUCCUGAUGAUCACUUUCAAAUUCUAGGAUGCAUAUUUGUCACUGAGCUCUGUACUGGGUAGUGAAAGCCUUCUACACUGCUGUGUGUUCUACUGGUAUGUUGUCACAGGUCCACUGAUAGAAGUUCCAGAGUUCUGUGGGAGACGUGAGUCCCAGCCUGCACCUUCCUUCCAGGCCCUUGGCCUCCUUCUCCUCCAACGUAAUGUGUUUGAAAAGAAGAAAUUUAACACUUGGGGCAAAUCAUCAUCGACUGUCAUGAUUCGUUUUCUGUGUAUCAGACGGUCAGGUAGGCAUCUUUUACGACACAAUCGCCUUACGCCAGUUAAUUAUGCGGCAUAAUUAUUGCUGCAAAGACUUGACGGCAAAAAACGCCGGAGGCGGCCACAGCCGGGGGCCUUUCCCGUGAAGGUACCGGCAAUUUCCAAAUGCUGGCAGUGCCCGAGGCUUUAGAAGAAGGACUAUUCAAAGCCUUAAAUUUCUACUCUCUGCCCACCUUCAUCCCGUCGGAAGAAGCGAUGCCACAGGGUUUUAAGAGCUCAUAUUCUGGGCAUUUUCAACCAACGAAGGGCUGGGGUCGCAUCACUCGACUGCUCACUCUUGGAAGUAAUGGAGACUCUCUGAGGCUCGGCUCUUCAGCUGUGCUGCAUUCUUCCCAAAUCAUAACGGGCUGCCUCUCCGUGAAGCAUUCCCCCGGAGCAACGAAGCCCUCAGGCACCAGGUGGAGGGUGUUCAUGACGUGGCCAAAACUCACGGGAGCAGUUACGUUGCGUGUGUUCUUGGAUGGAAUCUGUGCUCUCUGUGGGAGAGGCUGAGCCGGCAGCUUCCCGCCACCACCUGCAGACGUAAAUCUGGAUUCAGGUGGGGUGAGGGAGGCUGGCAGCCCAGAGGUCAUGUGAGAGAUGACAAGUGUAGACAUCCAUGCAACUCCUGUCCCCGUGCUCCUGCUGCGUCUGGAUUCCACAGUCCUGGCCCACACCCUGGGAGGCUCAG
ensembl:lncRNA